rnacentral:rRNA from 1 species
AUUGAACGCUGGCGGCAUGCCUUACACAUGCAAGUCGAACGGUAACAGGUCUUCGGAUGCUGACGAGUGGCGAACGGGUGAGUAAUACAUCGGAACGUGCCUAGUAGUGGGGGAUAACUACUCGAAAGAGUGGCUAAUACCGCAUGAGAUCUACGGAUGAAAGCAGGGGAUCGCAAGACCUUGUGCUACUAGAGCGGCCGAUGGCUGAUUAGGUAGUUGGGGGGAUAAAAGCUUACCAAGCCGACGGUCUGUAGCUGGUCUGGGAGGACGAUCAGCCAAACAGGGACUGAAACACGGCCCAGACUCCAGCGGGAGGCAGCAUUGGGGAAUAUGGGACAAGGGGGGUAACCCUGAUCCAGCGAUGCAGCGGGUGUGAAGAAGGCCUGAGGGUUGUAAAGCACUUUAGUUGGGGAAGAGAUUACAGAGUUUAAGAGAUACUGUAUGAGACAUGAACCAAAGAAUAAGCACCGGCUAACUCCGUGCCAGCAGCCGCAGUAAUAC